ACUAUUCUAGGGUUUCGCCGUCGCGGUCUUCAUCGGUUAUUCAUGUAUAAUUUUUUUAACUCUUUUGUUAUGUCAAUUAUUAUUAUGAGUAACUAAUCUCAUUAGAUUAGGAAUUAUAGAUGAUUCUCUUUAAAACUAUCUGAACCAUGUAACUACGUGUUCUAGUUUAUUCAAUGAAAACUUAUAAUUAUUCAGUUAAUUUUGUGUUUAUUGCUUUUCGUUAAUUGAUCACUUUCGAAUUGAUUUUAAGUUAUAAAUCACUAUUGACCCUAGGGUUUAUACUGGAACUAGAUUAAUUGUUUGCCAAUCGUAAUUGCUUUAGGAAUAAAGAAUUAGUUGGUAUGAUUAAGAAUUUAACGGCCAUUCAUGCUUUUGAUAAUAUUAGUUUCACCUAAGGAAUUAGGGUGCUAUAUUAGAUAAACAGGAUCGAUGAGCCAAGGAAUUGG
rnacentral:lncRNA from 1 species